UUGUGUUAGGGAUUGAAAUGACAUCCUUUUUAUGAGAUACUUCUAUAACCAAGUAAAAAAUUAAGUGAGUUUUCAAUUAAGCUGAAGAUUAAUUUAAAGAAUAAAGACUAAUAAAAAGAUAUAAUGUAAAGCCCGACCACGA
rnacentral:sRNA from 1 species